rnacentral:misc_RNA from 1 species
AAAAUUCUAGUUUCCAAACAGGGGUUACAGAUUUUGACAUUAAGUUAGUGUAAAAUAUAUAGGUGUGAUAAAAAUAUGUAUUUGUCUUAUCUGAAACUACCUGAAAAUUAUAUGAAUUUCUCGGCCAAGAUUGUGAGCCUUAUUCUCCAUUUGAUUUGGUGUAGGGCUACAUUCUUAAAUUGCUUCAUCCAAAAGGAAAGAAAGGCUUAAGGGGGAUUUAAUAGAAUUUUUUAUUAACUAAUAUUUUCUUUUGGCUCAGACUAAUAAGU